GGGCUUGACAUCCCACGAACCUGCCCGAAAGGGUAGGGUGCCCGCAAGGGAGCGUGGAGACAGGUGGUGCAUGGCUGUCGUCAGCUCGUGUCGUGAGAUGUUGGGUUAAGUCCCGCAACGAGCGCAACCCUCACCCCUUGUUGCCACCGGGUAAAGCCGAGCACUCUAGGGGAACUGCUAGCGUUAAGCUGGAGGAAGGCGGGGAUGACGUCAAGUCAUCAUGCCCCUUACGCCCUGGGCUACACACGUGCUACAAUGGCUGGUACAAAGGGAUGCGAUACCGCGAGGUGGAGCUAAUCCCGGAAAACCAGUCUAAGUUCAGAUUGCAGUCUGCAACUCGACUGCAUGAAGGAGGAAUCGCUAGUAAUCGCGCAUCAGCACGGCGCGGUGAAUACGUUCCCGGGCCUUGUACACACCGCCCGUCACACCACGAAAGCCGGCUGUACUCGAAGUCGCUGAGA
rnacentral:rRNA from 1 species